UCUUUGCUUCACUUUACUUUAGCUUUGAUCAUUGUCAUCAUUCUUUACCUCACAUUAGUUAUUUGCCUCACACUAACUCUAGUGUCACUUUACUUUACAUUUUCAAAUGCCACUCGAUCUAUGUCAUUGUGUCACUCUGUUCUUUUGCCUCACUUGGGUGCUCACAUUUUCUCUCAUGGAUACAUAUAGGGUUUUAACAUUCAUAAGGUUCUCAACCAUCACAUUAAGCAAGUUGUACUCACAAUCAUGCAUCAUCACAUUUUUAUCAUUACAUUACCCUAAAAUGCAUGCAACAAUUAUAUAACAUAUGCUCAAUUGAAUGACACAUUAGGCAUAGAGAGAAGUUCAACGAGUU
rnacentral:lncRNA from 1 species